AUGGACAAGGGAUUCAAAUUGUAGAAAGAAAUCCUGCAGACAGGAUUUACAAGGCUGUUGAAAUCUUGAAGGCUGUUUUUGUUUUGCUUGGUUGCUGGCCUUCAUGUUGGAAAAUGUGUCCCAAAAAGUCAAUCGUCAAGCUGUUGACGAUUGAGCAACCGAGUAUUGUAAUUGAUUUGUUAAUAAACAAAAUAUAUUUGGCAUUUUCAUCAUAAGCUUUCAUCUUCUA
rnacentral:lncRNA from 1 species